rnacentral:tRNA from 1 species
GUGACCGUAGCUCAGUCGGUAGAGCACCGCUCUGUGGAAGCGGGGGUCGCGGGUUCGAGCCCCGUCGGUCACC